AUUGAACGCUGGCGGAAUGCUUUACACAUGCAAGUCGAACGGUAGAGGGGGCAACCCCUCGAGAGUGGCGAACGGGUGAGUAAUAUAUCGGAACGUGCCCAGUCGUGGGGGAUAACGUAGCGAAAGCUACGCUAAUACCGCAUACGAUCUACGGAUGAAAGCGGGGGAUCGCAAGACCUCGCGCGAUUGGAGCGGCCGAUAUCAGAUUAGGUUUUUGGUGAGGUAAAAGCUCACCAAGCCUGCGAUCUGUAGCUGGUCUGAGAGGACGACCAGCCACACUGGAACUGAGACACGGUCCAGACUCCUACGGGAGGCAGCAGUGGGGAAUUUUGGACAAUGGACGCAAGUCUGAUCCAGCAAUGCCGCGUGCAGGACGAAGGCAUUCGGGUUGUAAACUGCUUUUGUACGGAACGAAACGGUGAGCUCUAAUACAGUUUGCUAAUGACGGUACCGUAAGAAUAAGCACCGGCUAACUACGUGCCAGCAGCCGCGGUAA
rnacentral:rRNA from 1 species